rnacentral:lncRNA from 12 species
UGAAAAAGCCAGAAUAUGAGAUAAAUGAUUUCAUUUAGAAAUAAUUGGGUAAAUAUAACUAUCUCAUUUUUUUAAAUUUUUUAUUUAUUUAUGAUAGUCACACAGAGACAGAGAGAGAGAGGCAGAGACACAGGCAGAGGGAGAAGCAGGCUCCAUGCACCGGGAGCCCGACGUGGGAUUCGAUCCCGGGUCUCCAGGAUCACGCCCUGGGCCAAACCGCUGCGCCACCCACGGAUCCCAACUAUCUCAUUUUUAAAAGAAAAGUUUGUUUUGGAACUUCAACUGCCUACUGGAGAGUCUACCUAUGAGAGCCCAGUUACUCCAAAUUUAUUGUAUUCUGGAGUAAAGAACGUGGCCUUUGUCCUGGUUCUUCAGAGGAAUCCUCGAAAUCCUUGAAUUUCCAAAAUGUUAAGACUGUCUUUGUUAUUUUUGGAGGCUUUUUGAGCCACAACUGAAUUUCUGCUAAUAAGAUAACUCCUGGAGUGCCUUUAUAUAGUUUAUGUUAACCAGAUGAGCCAGGAAGGGGGCUGGCUAUGCAGGAAAGACCAAUCAUGUAGAGAAGUUUGGGGCUUUGAGUCCUGUAAUAUCAGCCUGAUCUCUGGGGAGGAGAUGGGGUUAGAGAUUAAGUUCAAUUUUAUAGACAGUGGUUUAGUCAGUCAUACCUAUGUGAUUAAACUCCAACAAAAAAAUCAUGUACAAUGAUUUUCCGAGCGGCUGACAUUCAUCAAUAUCCUGAGAGGGUGAUACGUCUUGAGGACACAGAAAGUUUCACGAUUGGGAAGUUCCCACAUUUUCCUGUAUGUUUCUUCAUUUAGCUUGUUCUGAUUUUUAUGCUUAACUUUAGUGUUUUCUUGAAAUCUGUGAUUCAUUCUAGUGAAUUAUCAAGCCUGGAGAGAUAGUGGGCACCUUCAAAUUUGUAACCCCUUGGUCCCACAUAUGGGUGGCCUAGGAACCCAAGAGCUCAAGGCUAGAGGGAAAGUGGUCUUGUAGGGGACUGUGCCCUUAACCUGUGAAGUUUGACUGAAUUUGGAUUGUUAACAUCAGAACUGCGUUGCACAUUCUUUAAAUCCCGAAGCAUAAUCUCCUUUAAUACCCAACCAAUUUAUCUGCUGAACUUUCUAUUCCUCUUCCCACACUUUCUACCAUUCAGUCCAGUUUCUUCUUCCUUCAUAACAUCUCUCACAUGCAUCUCCUACAGUUUGUGUUCUAUUGUCACGUGUGUAUCCAUUUUUGC